UAAUACGGAGGGUGCAAGCGUUAAUCGGAAUUACUGGGCGUAAAGCGCACGCAGGCGGUUUGUUAAGUCAGAUGUGAAAUCCCCGGGCUCAACCUGGGAACUGCAUUUGAAACUGGCAAGCUAGAGUCUCGUAGAGGGGGGUAGAAUUCCAGGUGUAGCGGUGAAAUGCGUAGAGAUCUGGAGGAAUACCGGUGGCGAAGGCGGCCCCCUGGACGAAGAUUGACGCUCAGGUGCGAAAGCGUGGGGAGCAAACAGGAUUAGAUACCCUGGUAGUCCACGCUGUAAACGAUGUCGAUUUGGAGGUUGUGCCCUUGAGGCGUGGCUUCCGGAGCUAACGCGUUAAAUCGACCGCCUGGGGAGUACGGCCGCAAGGUUA
rnacentral:rRNA from 1 species